rnacentral:rRNA from 1 species
CCUAGCCCUUCAGAGGGGGACAACAGUUGGAAACGACUGCUAAUACCGCAUACGAUCUAACCUCGGCAUCGAGGAUAGAUGAAAGGUGGCCUCUACAUGUAAGCUAUCACUGAAGGAGGGGAUUGCGUCUGAUUAGCUAGUUGGAGGGGUAACGGCCCACCAAGGCGAUGAUCAGUAGCCGGUCUGAGAGGAUGAACGGCCACAUUGGGACUGAGACACGGCCCAG